rnacentral:lncRNA from 1 species
AUGGGAAAAUAUCUUCAAUUUCAAAUUUCUCUUCCCUCUACAGUUUCUUUUUCAUCUAUGAUGUGGUUGAAAGAACGUUGCCAGGAGAGCUUAGACAAAGAGAUGUCCUCCUGUCUCAGGCACUCACUGGACGUGUCCUUGGUUACACAGAGGAUGUUAUCCAGGUCGUGUGUUGUGACAAUAAAACCACAAGAUUUUGAAGAAGGCUGCACCUCUGCAACCUCUGCAUUGAACUGUAUGAAGCACAGUCACUGGUCACCAGGCCUACAGUGGGCUGACUCUACAUGAAGAUGCACAUCCAGAGAUUCAUUUUCCUUGCCCCUGGGUCUGUGGAGUUAUAAAGAAGGAAGUAAUUAAGCAUCUUGUUAUUGAACGGUCAAGAGGGAAAUGACACUGAGUGAGUAACCUUAAGCAAGUCAUGAAGGUGCAUGAGAAGGGUUUGCCACGGAGAAGAAUGAGGGGUCCAGGCAGAAGGCUCCAAGACAAUAAAGAGAUGAGGAAGUAGGCCGAGCACAGUGGCUCAUGCCUGUAAUCCCAGCACUUUGGGAGGCCGAGGCGGGCAGAUCACAAAGUCAGGAGAUUGAGACCAUCCUGGCUAACAUAGUGAAACCCCGUCUCUACUAAAAAUACAAAAACAAAAUUAGCUGAGUGUGGUGGUGGGCACCUGUAGUCCCAGUUACUCAGGAGCCUGAGGUGGGAGAAUGGCAUGAACCCCAGAGAUGGAGCUUGCAGUAAGCUGAGAAAGCGCCAAGGCACUCUAGCCUGGGUGACAGAGCAAGACUCCGUCUCAAAAAAAAAAAAAAAAAGAGAUGAAGUAAUAAAAGGCAACUGAGUGACCUAGGAGGCCAGGGCUAUGAAACACACUCUUCACCUGCUGCCACUACAUCUUGUCUUAUGAUGUGAACCACCACAUUCAAAAGUAACAUAUUAUCUUCUUAAUUUAGGUUCCUUUACUCAAAAUGCCAUUUAAAAUACCUUAGUUCAUAAGUGCACAGGUUAUUAAAUAUACAUUGCUCUGACCUACACUACGGGUGAAGGUUGAAAAUUAAGCCAAUAACAUAAAUGGUUAGUACAGAAGUCACUGAUUUAGAAUAAGUUAUGUUUUUAAUCAAUGUGCUUAAAUUUUCAUUGGGUUGGUUUCAGGGUCAUUAGAACAUUUUGAAGGUAUAUACAGUUGUCCAUUGGUAUCCAUGAGGGACUGGUUCCAGGACCCUCCUAAGAUACCAACAUUUGCAGUUGCUCAAGUCCCUGAUAUCAAAUAGCAUUGUAUUUACAUAUAACCUAUGCACAUUCUCCUGUUACUUUAAAUCACUUCUAGGUUACUUAUAAUGCCUAAUGCAAUGUUAAUGCCAUGUAAAUUCACAGUUGUUCCAGUGUAUUGUUUAGAAAAUAAUAGGAAAAAAAUCUGUCAGACACAAUUUUAAAAAAUAUUUUUGAUCCACAGUUGGUUGAAUCCACAGAGGUACAACCUGCAGAUACAGAGGACCAACUGUAUAUAGAACUAGAAACUCAGAAUUUAAAUUUUAGCUUUAUUGUUGUUCAAAAGCUAAUUAAUACCGUUAAUAUUGUUGGCCACCUUGGUGACACUAACCAUUCCCUUGGCCAUUUUGUUCUGCCUAACUACCUCAAAACAAGAGGUUACAAAUGACCACCAUUUCAUUUCACCUCAAUGUGUGUCAGGAAUUCAGACAGAUCUCCCCUGGGUGAUUCUUCCAUUCUGGGUAGUAUCACCUCACAGGUGCAUGCUGAUGCCUUAACAGAGGCAUCUGGAAGCCUGGAUUUUGCUGAGUCCCUUUAGGUAGUCCCAGGGCCUUGCAAGAGGGACAAAAGGGGCCAACAUUUACAAGAUUCUCAGGGCCCUGAAACUCAAAGGUAGAAAGGAUCAGUCUUCUUACAGCCCAGACCUGGAACUGUCAUGGUGGCACUUCUUCCACACACAAUUGGUCAAAGCUGUAACAGGCGAACAUCAGAAAUAGCCCCUGCCUCUUGAUGGGAACGGUGAUGGGAAAGAAUCUGUGGUCAACUUUAAUCUACCAAAGCCUGAGACCAAAGGGCCACACAUAGAAAUGAAAAGUAAAAGGUCAAAUCAAACUUGGAAAGCCUGAAUCCUGGGUUUAAUUCUAACAAUAACAUAUUAGUAAAAUAAACUAAUCCUGCAUUAAGUCAGCACUGAAAUAAAUGAUCUCUGCAUUCCACUCAAGAACUUGAACUGUCAUGAACAAAUGCAACAUGAAUAUUUAAUGCUUUGUUUUUAGAAAUAACAAAUGAAUUCAAUCUUUGAAUCUACUUGUCCUUCAAUAUUUAUUUUACUAUUCCUUUCUGCUUUUAGAAAUAAUUUAUAAGAAUUCUGUGUUUGAUCAUCUAUUUCCAUAAAAGAAGAAAGUAUCAGUAUCCAACAUGUCCAAAGCUAUGAUAAAUUCCGAUGUCACAUAAAAGACUAACAUACUGAAGUACAGUAAUGUCAAAUGGUACCAAUCAAAAGAAAUAAGGAGGAAAAAAUCUAGAGGUGCCUGCAACAUCAGAGACUCAUAUUAAUUCAUGAAUUAAUACAAAGGAAUUUUCUUCACACCUGUGUCAUAUUUCUCUGCAGGUUCUAACUUUGUCACAUGUUUUACUGAAGUUCAGAGGAGCUAAUGCUCUAUUAAAAACAAUAAGGAAGGCUUGAAUGUAGAAACAAAAAAUAGGAUAUUUAAUAAGAUAUUUACAGAUAUAACAAAAUAUAUACAUAUCCACCCAUAUGACAAAUAAAUGAAUUCAGUAUCAUCAUCUUUCUAUGUUUUAUAAUCAAUUUUAUUUUUGUUCAGGAAAGGUUAAUUUCUUAUUUUUAUUCUAUAAUAUAUGAUUGAUGGCUAAUUCUUUAAAAAGAUAUUGCUUACAUGUUUUAUAAGAAGAGGAACUCUGGGACAAUAAAGACUAUAUUUUCUGAGAAACAAAAUGUAAAGGAUGUUGAAAUUCAUGCUGUGGAUACUAAAUAUUGUUGAAUAUUUGAAAAGUCCUCUUGGUUAUUUUUUGCCUAAGCGAAAAGUCUGGAUGAUUGAAUGGCCAAUUUGAUUAAAACUUCUCCAUAAAAUUUGAUUUCACCUCCUCAGCAAAAUGAACAGGUGAAACAAUACAAAAUAAACAUGGCUGCAUAAGCAAGCACGUACUUAGUUACAGCUUAUUUUCAAAUGCAUUCUUUAAAUGUGAAUCUUUAUAUGGUAUCUCACAUCAAUAAAUAUAAAUAUUAUAUCUUCAAACUAAGCACCAUCCUUAGGUUGCAGUGAAAAACACUAUGAUUCUAUAAAUAGGUGCUUACAUGUAUGGUACUUUUUGAUGGAAUGUAUUUAUUUAAUAAAAUC